rnacentral:lncRNA from 1 species
CUUGUUUUAUAGAUAAAGAUUUUAUAAAAAAAUAAGAAUUAUCAUUAGUCAAGAAAGCUAAAUCUAUAUAUAUAGAAGUCAUAAAUAAUUAUUUUUUUGUCUUUAAGAGAUAUUAUCCAUGAGAUUAUUCCUUCAAGUAUAGAAAUUAAAGACCAUGAUAGUGUAAUAAUAUUUAAUGCAAUAAGAUCUUUUAGGAUUAUCAUGGUUAAAAAAAUAUAAUCCUUAGAUAGAUUGGAUUUUUUUUAACCUUGAUUUUUCUUGUAAUUUAAUCCAAAGUUUAAUUAGUCAAGUAAAAAUGUAUAAGUUUAGUACAUCCAAAUUCCUAGUAGUAGGUGGAAGAACUUUUAUGCAUGCAAUAAUAAAAGAAUCAUCUUUUGCUAUAUAAACCAUGCCC